GUCGUUACCUACCUGAGCCCAGAAUUUAAACAAAACUUUUUCUUAAGAAUAGUAUUUUGUGUGCAGUAAUGAGAGUAGCUUGAACCCUUCCAGCCUUUGAAGUUUGCUGCAUCUUUCAGGUAGUGGACAUGCCGUGUGGAAGCAUGAGUGGCACGAGGGUGACUCAGACUCUGUGCAAGUCUGACAGUGCUGUGAGGCUCCCUACUCUCCCCCCUGCACCCUGCUUGUUGAAUUGCAAAUGAAGUACAGCCAGGAGGACCACCUGCAAACACGGUGUUCAAAGAGUGCAGACCAGCACUACGUUACUGCAAGAUAAUAUGUAGAAAAUGUGCAUAUAAAGCAGAGCGCAUCUCUUGGCACACACAUGAGGUUGCCCAAGCUGAAUCGAAAAGAUACACUCCUGGAGUACCUAUUAGCUUCCCCUCUGUGGCUUUCUAACUUCCAGUUUAUUAAUUCUGGAUUUUUCAUCAUAACCACGCUUCAGUCCCGCAAAGUUUCUUCAAAGAAACCCCCAGCCUGGAACUGGUGCGGCUCUGCAGAGGAAAACGCCGCACUGUACUUCAAAGCGGAGAAAAUCUGCAGCUGCCGGGAGCCCGCCUGCCCCAGGAGGUGUCACUGUUGGGACUGGCAGGGUGAGCUCCGGAGCUGCUGUUUGUUUUCUAAAGCCUGCUUUGACCGUGAGAGGACCCAGACCCGCCCCACUACUCCAGGUUGUGUCCUGUCUUAUGGACUACUACAGAAUCACUAAAACCAUCGCACACAAAGGCACCACGGGACUCCCACCAUCACCAGAGCUCUCCGCCUGCCUCUGGCGCUAGCUGUCAGAACCGCUUCAGCUGAAAUCAAGGUAAAGAAUCAGCAGCACUAAAUACUACAGGACAAAGGCAUAAACUAGCUUUGUAACCCUGGGCAACCUGGAUGUUUGCUGACUGACAGUGUGAAUG
rnacentral:lncRNA from 1 species